CAGGCUGGGAUUGCCUCAGGAAACUUACAAUUAUGGAGGAAAGAGAAGCAGAUACCUUCUUCACAAGGUGGCUAGAGAGAAAAAGUGUAUGUAGGAGGAAAUGUUAAACACAUAAAACUAUCAGAUCUUGUGAGAACUCACUAUCACAAGAACAGCAUGGGGGAACGGCCCCCAUGAUCCAGUUACCUCCCACCAGGUCCUGUCCUUGACACAUGGGUACUAUGGGAUUAUAAUUCAAGAUGAGAUUUGGAUUGGGGACACAGAGCCAAACCAUUUCAACAAAGGACAAUUAUAUAUCUGUUUCAGUCUAGGUCCAAGUUUAUAUUUCUCUAGAAUUUUUAUCCUUUUACCACGGGGGAAUAUUUUUUUAAACAUGCUUUUAAGAAAGUCACCAAGGCAAGAGAGAAAAAGGAAUAGGACAGUCCCAAAGGAGCUGAGGUAUAGAAUAACUGGUCUUUCAGGGUAUUUCCAAAAGACUAGUCAAGAGGGUGGCACUUGUGGAAGAGGAGCACGAAAAGAAUAUCAUGGUAAGGGAAGAAAACCUAAAACAGCAGAAAGAAAAAUAAUUUUUUUUAAAAAAAAAGCACUAUUAAGGAAAGACAUCAACAAUUAAAAGCAUGAAAGCAGCAAAAACAAUAAAAGUAGUAAAUAUAAUUAUACGUUGUAUAUAAAACUGUUCUAUUUGAUUUACUCAGCAGCUCUUUGGGUUCUGUAAAAGAGGUAUUAUCUUCCCCAUUUCAUAGAUAAAGAAACCAAGGCCCAGAGACUUGCCUAAUUACAUAGCUAGUAGUUGAAGUUUUCUGACUUAUGAUUUAAGAAUAUUCUCACAUGGAAAAGGGAAAGGAUAAGACAAAAAUUGAAAGAUAAAAAUAAAGAGAAAGUGGUGAUUAAUAAACGUUUGUUGCAUGAGUGACAAAUGUAUAUAACAGGAAAGUCUGAAAAUACAAAUUUCAACUUCGACGGAGAAUAUUUCUCUGGGCUCACUACACAUUUUCAAGACUUUGGCCCCUGACUCCCACAGAUAUCAUUGUGGAUAUGAUAUAACUCAGGGAAAUAAAUCCCUAUUUUUGUUUAUAAAUUAAGAGAUUAAUUAAUACAUAGUAAGUCAAUUAUUAUUAUUUGUUGACCACAGUGUCAGUCAGGGUUGAGGCAGGAAAGAAAUGGCUCAUUCAAAGGGUAAAUCGCAUUUAACGAAGGGACUGUUUACACAUUUGAAGGGAGAAUAACCAAGGGAUUGGUCAUAAAGGGAAGUGUUCUUCACUCUUGGGCCCCAGUGCAAUGAAUAAGAGGGAGCACAGACCCCAGGGAGUGCUGCGGCCUUGAGAGAAGGCUGCUUGACAGAAGCUGAGGUCUCUGGAUCUCUGAUAGGAGAAUUUAGCCAUGAUGGUGACAGUAGAGAGAAGGAUGCUGUGCCAAAUACCUUCUUUUCCAAAAAACUAUAAAAUCAAUAAUUUAGAAUGGGAAUAAGGGGAAGAGAUGAAAGACUGUACUACUUCAACAAAAUGUGGAAAAAGAGGAAAAAGCAUCUUUCUUAAGGUGAGAAUUUAGAAAAUGGGGAAAUAUAUAUAAAGUUGAGUUAUAUUUACCAGUUUUGUCCAUUCAUUCUGCAACAGUGUAAUGAACCUACUACACUGCAGUCAUUCAGAAACCUUGGGGUUAAUGUGACAAUAACACUAAACCCCUGCCCCCAAAGACAUCAGUCCACCAGGAGGGACAUGCAAGUAAAUAGCAGUAACAAAACCAAUAUAAUAUCAUGUUAUAAAAGAGAUACACACACAAUUCCAUGGUGUAAAGAGAGCAAGUGCUAUUCUUGGUAGAAUUGGAGAAGAUUUUCAAAUGAAGGGACAUCUGAAUGACAUUUUAAAUUAGCAGUUUUGCAAGACCAGUGAAAUAAAGGCAUUUCAAGUAUAGGGAGUGGCUUGUGUGCAGGUGUGGAAACUCUAAAGGUACCUGAUGAUUUAAGGAGCUGCAGUAGUUCAGCAUGGCUUGAGUUUGGCAGGGGUGGGGGUUAUGGAGGAGUAUUAUGCUAAAGACCAUUAACUUGACUUUAAAUAACAGUUGUAGAUUUUAAACCAAGGAAGUGAUAUGGUUACAUUUAUGUAUUAGAAAGACCAUUACUGAAGUAUUGUUUCCAAUUUAAGGAAUGGAAGGGGUGGCGAGGAGGAAGAGUUAAGUAUAAAUUUAUUUCCACUAAAUUUCUGUCGGUCACUUUUUUAUCUUUAUUAUAUUUGCUUGAUUUUUUUAUAAAGGGGGGCAUUUUAAUCUGAGGCAAGAAGGAGAAAAGUGCAGAGUGAAAGAUGGGGUUUAUUUUCAUAUCGAUAUCAUUGCCUUGCGAACAUUCUGGUGAGGUGCUGCAGGUAAAGGAGCUCUCCUGCUCAAGGACUGACCUUGGUAGAAUCUUGCCUACCCAUCUACAUUCAGGGAAUUUCACUUCACUUUCCCUUCUGGAUAUGGCCAGCCCACCACCAAAACAAGGGAAGAGAUAUGGGAGUGAAGAUUCAUCCCCUACACAGUGCAUCAUUAUUGGCAAGUGAGAAGCGGAGCUGGGAAUUUGAGAAGCAAAUCAAUGCCUUCUGCUUCUCUUCAUUAGUUCUGACAACAGAUGGAAAAGAGGCAAACCCUCACCUUCUGUGGUUGCUUCUGAUAUUCAACUGGGAACCUCAUUCUCAGUAGCUACAGAUUUCUCUAAUCACUCAUCUUAACUUAACUUGACACUGCAUUCUAUUGCCUUUCAUGAGAAGGAUCUUGGGAGGCUGUAAACCUAUGUUGCUGGGAAACAAAUGUAUUGCCUUAAAUAGAGCAGGAGAGGAGCUGCAGAUUUCCAACUCUUACAGCUUGUUCACUUGUGGAGACUGGGCUGCAAUGUGCUCUUGAAAUCUUUGGGGUGGGCCUUGUUUCUGAGGAAAUAAAGAGGCCCCAGAACCUCCCAAGUGAGUGAAAGAAUGAUUUCCAGAUACUCAAAUGGAGUGGCCUUCUGGCUACAUUAGCUGGAUGUGCUUGGCAGUCUUUCCAUCUGGCUGGCCAGUAUCCUGAGGUUAGCAAAGCAGAAGGCAAAUCUUUGGGGAGUUAAAAGACAUGUGCACGUGCCAGUAUUUUUGACAAAUGCUCAGUUAAUUGUUUUCUAUGAUUCUUCUCCUGAGACACAAACUGUAUGCACCAGGCACCAAGAACUAUCCCCUCCCACCACCCCAGAUCCCAAGGGAAGCUUCAUAAUUACACACAUUUGGGCCAAGCAUCUACCCCACAGGAAAUGGAAAGAUCAGGCCCUAGGGAUGAAAGAAUGAUGCAGGGCAUGGGAAAGCAGGGAAAUCUCCUCAGUGAGAAAGAAGACAAAUUCACAUCAGCCUGUGAGCUUAUAUACCAGUAAGAGAAAUUCAGAAUUUCUUGUUAGGAUACUAAGGAAAUGGUGGUCAGAAGAGGCCUGGGACAGAUGAAAUUCACCAAAGUCUCUACCACAGACAUUCUCAGAUGGUGCUAAUAAAAAGAAGAAACCCAAACCAGAACUGGUGGUCCACAUUGUGAGAGUUGCUUAAUAUCAUCACAAAGCAAUAAUUAUCCACAGCAUGCUUGGUGGCUCAACAUUCUGAAAGGCAAAUGUCAAGGGCAUAUAGUCUCAACCAUGUUGCUAAUGGCAGCUCAUGUUUUGUGUUGGGUGGUCUUGUGUUCUGCCUGGUGGUCUUUCUUCUGCCUGCUAUGACAGCACUAAUGAUUUCAUGUCCACAGUAUUCACUUGUCUCCCUUUAGUAAUGCAUGACAAGUCAUAAAAGACAGACUGCCCAGAAAUGACACUGCAGUAUUCCAGACAUUUUCUCUCUUGGUGGUGACAGUUCCAAAUCAAGCUGGCUCAGUGCUUUAAGUCAAAGCAUUUGUCUAAGUGGCAGUUCAAAAUGCAGCCUUAGAUCUGGAAAAUCAAACUAGGCUUUUCUCACUUCUGCCAUCAUUGCUGGUAGUAAAUAUUUAACUGCUGGACCACAGCUAGCAGAUUAUGAUAGAUGACACAGAAUAGAAUACAACUCUUUCUUUCCUAGCUGUGAAGAACUCAUCUUUUGGUUAGAGAGAUUUCACUACCUUUUAAUAAGCAUAAGUAGGCCAUUUUACAGACUUUCUUCCACACUCAUUCACGGUUUCUUUCCCAAAUUCCCACAAAGAAUAGCAAGGGAAGCUUCAUGGCUGCAAAGAAUAUCAAUAUAAUUUCUGUUCAGAGGAUCAAAGUAUCACAUACUCAAAAAUCAAUCCAGGCAAUUAUCCCAGUUUUAACUCUAAAGAAUAUAUUAGAACAUUCUUUAUCAGAACCUGACCUAUAACGCUGUAUAGGGCAAUCAGACCAAGAAUUCACUCUCAAUAGACUUUUGGGACCAUCAAUUAGAUUAGGUUUGGGGAAUUCAGUGCUACUCCCUAUAAACUACCCAUCACAAGUGAUCUUCCUGCAAAAUCCUACACUCUACCUCUACCAUGCCAUUUUCUUACUUUUGGCCUUUUAUUGUGGUUAACUUUUCAUAAUCAUUCUUUUGUUAAAUGAACAUAAAUUGAGUCUAUUGAACCUCUUAAGGCCUAGAAAAAGCUUCUAGAAAGGAAUGAUACUUGAGCUAGCCAUUCUAAGUGCUUUCAUCACAUCCUUAAGAAAUAUUUGAUACAGAACCUGCCAUACUAUAUUGUAAUCAUUUUGCUUCAUUAUCUGUUUCUUCUCCUUUAUUAUAGGUUCCUUGAAAGCAGAUACCAGACAUAUUUAUCUUCCCAUACCAUUGCCUAAAAACUGUGCCUGGUCCAUAGCAUAGGGGCAGUGCAUGUUUUAAUUAGUAGAUUAAACUUGGCCCAUUGGAGAGGAGAGAGUGAUUACAAGGACAAAUAAGAUUUCGUUUUAUCCCUCAAGUUCUUUCUAAGUUAGCACAUUGCUAGGUACAGAUUAGUUGCUCAAUAAAUGCUGGCUGGUUAGUCAAUUAUCAGACAGUUAUUUUUCUUCACAUGGAAAGACAAAGCUACCAAAAUGAAUAUAUACCAACAAAGCCAGCUAUAGUUUUAUUUUGAAAUAGCAACACCUUUCCUACCCUCACUCAGGACUUCAAGUACUAAUAACAAGAAAGAAACAAAGUAUAGGAAUUGCUUAUCAUACCAAGCAUAAUAUCUGAAGCCAAAACUGAGACAGUCUAGUGCCAGGAAAGGAUAUUUUAAACUAGAACCAUCUUGGAUCAAACAAGAUAUUUGGUUCUUAGUACUUCUGGUCUCCAAUAUGCCUCAACAAUUUCCAGUUAGACCUUGACAAUUAUGUGAUAAAAUAAAUAUAAAAACACUUUAACACUGUAUAACACACAAUGAAAAUAUAAGUGCUAUAAAUAGAAACUGUAUUUCUGCAUUUAAAAUACAUGGACCAAUUUGGUAAGUGCAUACACGAAGAAAUAGUGAUUUGAGGCAUUUCCUAAUUCAUUUAUACUCUUUUUUUAAUUAAGUAACUUAAAGCAUGAGAUCUAUUGUAAAGUCAGAACUAAAAAGGACCAGAGAAGAAGAGGAAGUAGAUGACAGAAGAGUAGAAUAUUGUAAGAGGGAAGUACUUAGUACAGAAUUACACAGCCCAAUAGAGAAAAUUAGAAACUGAUUCAAUAUCUAUUAAAUAGACUUUAACUGAGUGUCACUGAGUGUCUCUUAGGUCCCAGGCAUGAAGCUAAGAACUGUGAAGCACAUCAAGAUGAAUAAAUUUCAGCCUAGUGAAAGAAAGCUUGUAGUCUGUGGGUUGGGAGGGUGGGGGUGGAGGGAGGGGAAAAAAGACAAGCAUGUAUACAAAUAUAUCAGAAGGCAGAAGUAAUCAGAGCUGGAAGAGAAGUUCAGACAAACUUCUGUCAUAGUUUAAAGAAAGAAAAUGUCUGUUCAUUGAAGGAUGCUUCAGGGUAAUUUCAUAGUGGAGAUAUUACAUAAGCUAAGUCUGAGAAGAAAUUCAAGAGGUAGAUAUAAAGGAUGAAGAACUCUACAUUCAGAAUUAACAGUCUGAGAAAAGCAUAGAGGUAGGAAACUUACUAGCUAUGUUUAAUAAGCAUCAAGUACUCCAUUUUGUCUAAAGUUUAAGGUAUGCAUGAAGACAUAGUGAGGAAUGAGGCUGAAGAGCCAACUGUGGCUAGGUUGUCAACAGUCUGGAAUACUAAGCCAAAGGAUUUGGGCUUUAUUCAGUCAUCUUUGGGAGCUACUCAAAGUAUGAUAAGAUCAUAGCUGUAUUUUCAGAAGCUUAAUCUAGAAACAAUAAAAGAGUAAGUUAGGUGAAAAAAGAUUGGAAGUGGGAGAUAAAUUUAGGUGUCAUUAUUAUAAAGACCAGUACAAAAUUUAAUAAAGAUCUUCAAGAAGGAGGUGACUGCUAUAACGUUAUCAUAUUUGCCAUGGUCUACUCAGGCUGCUGUAAUACCAUAAACUGAGUGGCUUACAAACAACAUAAAUGUAUUUCUCACAGGUCUGAAGGCUGAAAUGUUGAAGACCAAGGUGCUGUCAGAUUUGGUGUCUGGUGAGGCCUGCCUUCUGGUUCAUAGAUAGUGGCUUCUCACUGUGUCUUCAUAUGAUGAAAAAGACGAGGCAGCUCUCUAGAACCUCUUUUAUGAGGGCACUAAUCUUGUUCAUGAGGGCAGAGCCUAAUUAUCUCCCAGUUAGCCCAACUGCCGACCACCAUCACCUUGGGUGUUAGAAUUUCAACAUAUAAAUUUUGAGGGGACGUGAACAUCCAAACCACAGCAAUAGUAUUAAAUGUGACAAAUACUGCUGUCUUGUUUAGUAAGUGUAGGAAUGAGCCAUGAAAGAUUAGAAGGGAGGCUCGCAUGAAUUGGCACUGAGGUGAGGAAUGACGCCUGAAGGAAUUUAGUGUCAGGUCUGAACAAACAGGGUAGGAGCAAGAUGCUUGCAUGCUUACAUCAUACAUAGGGCCUCAUAACAGAAUUACGAAGGAGGGAGGUGAAACAAGAUGCCAAAUAGAAGCCUUCAGCAAUCAUUCCCUUCCAUAGGAAUGCCAAAUUGAGUAACUGUCCACACAA